AUCCUGGCUCAGAUUGAACGCUGGCGGCAUGCCUUACACAUGCAAGUCGAACGGCAGCACGGGGCAACCUGGUGGCGAGUGGCGAACGGGUGAGUAAUGCAUCGGAACGUGCCAUUGAGUGGGGGAUAACGUAGCGAAAGUUGCGCUAAUACCGCAUAUUCUGUGAGCAGGAAAGCAGGGGACCGCAAGGCCUUGCGCUCUUUGAGCGGCCGAUGUCAGAUUAGCUAGUUGGUGAGGUAACGGCUUACCAAGGCGACGAUCUGUAGCGGGUACUGAGAGGAUGAUCCGCCACACUGGAACUGAGACACGGUCCAGACUCCUACGGGAGGCAGCAGUGGGGAAUUUUGGACAAUGGGCGCAAGCCUGAUCCAGCCAUGCCGCGUGAGUGAAGAAGGCCUUCGGGUUGUAAAGCUCUUUCGGCCGGGAAGAAAUCGCAUGGGUUAAUACCCUGUGUGGAUGACGGUACCGGAAUAAGAAGCACCGGCUAACUACGUG
rnacentral:rRNA from 1 species